CCUGGUGAAGAGUGUUGACGGGUGGAUGCGCAGAUGACAAAGAGAUUUUUCUCUCUUUUCUUCUGAGCCGCCUCUGAGAAGCCUCUGUACGUACACGAUGUGGCUGAUCUGGGAUAAUCGUGCUGUGCACAAUGUUUAAGGAGAACAUUGCCAUGAAAUGGUGGGCUAAGGAAUAGCCUAAAAAACCUAAAAGGCUCGGGAAAAGCCAAAGAGAACAGCAAUGGGCUCUGGGAAGCCCCAGUGACGCUACAGAAAACAGCGUGGCUUUUAGGCACCUCCUCAGAGCAGCAGCAAUGCCUUGCUCCAGCCUGUGGGACAAUGGAGACUCUUAAUUACCACCUUGAAUUACCACAAGUGUUGCAAAAGCAGAAGGGACUAGGGAGCACGCAGAGCAGGUUGUGGACUAUAUGUCAAGUUUAAACAAGCAACAAGCCCCUCUGCAAAUAGGAACAGGUUUAGCCCUAAGUACUAGAUGAAGGUAGCUGUGAGUAACGUGAAGCGAAGCGGUUACGUCAAUCACCCCGAAAGCCUCGGAGAAGUGGUCCAAACACCUGAUACCCUCGCGGCCUCGGCAGUCUUUUUGGUUUGUUUGGCAGGGUAGUCCACCGAAGGGGGACAUCUCGAAGAGAAGCAGCGAGACCUGGGGAUCCGGUUGUUCGUUUUGGUCGUCGCCUGUGAGGCCAGCAUCCGAGCGUAAGAGGAAUCUAGGCUCGAAAAGAGAUGGCACCAAGGACAGCAAAUGCUGACAAAGAGAAGAGACGGACAAGCAUUUUCUUGUGAUUAAUACCGAAGGGACGGGAUGAAACAAGGAAGCCAAAAUGCAGUGGACCCUCGAUAUCACCAGGAACUGCUACAGGAGGCGGCGUUCUGGCACGGGUAACUAAGGGCGAUGGAUUUUACUCUGCCUCCAUCAACAGGCGCUGGCUGGCAAAGUCGUCGUGUCCCAGUGGAGACUCUUAGGCAGGACGGGAGGAGUUCGGAUCCGCAGCCUGCCAGAAGAGCGUCGCCUGGGAGGGGUCGCUAGCCUUGAGCUACAGGCACUGGUGCUGAAGCCCAGUCGGGCAGUCGAAGGAGCCUCGUCGCAGCUGGGAGCUCUGCGGAGAUGUGCGGCCGGCUGUGGAGGAUGAGCUCUGACUUGCGGCGUGGACACGGCUAAGUCCUGGGCUGCAUCGUACGCGAGUGGGGCUGGGAGGUGCGAGGCGUUCGUCCCCUAGCCGUGGUCACUGGCGCCGCUGGCUGUGGCCGUUUGCCCACGGAGCUGAGAGGACCAAAAAUACUAAUUGCCUGACCCAGAGAUGAAUUAGUGCUUGCAGGCUUUCAGGUAGGUUCAGUGCAAGUGCAGCUUAGUGCAGUCCCGUGGAGUGACGCUUGCACAUGCUCACAUUUGAAUGGUGGCUAAAACCAAGCCUCUAAACAGCAACUGUAACGCAGUUCUGGUGCUUGUCUUCCUGUUCUGCUGUACUUCUAAAGGAAGGGAAAACUUCCUAAGCUGCGGGCAAAACUCCUUGGCUUCUCUUGACUGUUUCCAUGCUCUGGAAACAGCUUUGGGUGCUUUGGUGCUUGUUGCUUAAAGCUGAGGGUUUGGAAUUUUUCACUUAAGGUUGAUUGUUUAGCUUGCUGCUGAGGGUCUCUCACCCAGGAGUUACGGGUUAUUCCUUUCUUUAGUGGGGCUCACUCUUUAUCAGUCAGGGUUUACAGUUUGCUCAUGUAGCAAUCGGGGCGCAGAAUUUAAAAUCCAACCCCAUCCCUUGUCCCGAUCCAAUAUCGGGGGGGUUUCAUUACGAUCCCAAGGACGAGAUUAAGACGCUAAAACCGGUCAAAUAUCGUACAACCGUUUAACAUUAUUUUCCACAAAGUGGGGAGAAAAGGUGGGGAAAGGCGAAGGAGAGGCAAAGGGAAGAGGGGAACAAGGGUAAGGGGAAAAGAUAGAGAAAGCUGGAAAAGGAGAGAAAGAGCUGGCUACCACCAGUCCGAGUCCAGUGAUGUUCUGCUGACUCCGUUCGAAUUACAGCUCAGGCUGGGUGCCUCCGACGAGGGACCCGGAACAAAGAAAUCCCUGGGCAAUGAUACUUUCCAAUCUAAGCUCUCCACCCUUCACACAGUAGUUUGGACCAAUAGUAAUAUUUAGGUCUGGGGUCUCCUGCUCCCUAUUGGGUCCCUCGGUAGGUUGUUUACUGUUGCGGUUUCUGCUGGUGGAUGUGUCUUCAUUCUUCGGGUCCUGCCCUUGUCUCUCAAGGCCCUGACAAAUCAGUACUGCCCCAGCAGUGAUAGUAGGUGUUAUCUCCCAAGGUCCAGACAAAGGGAAUAUGAUCUGGACCCCGAGAUAGUCCAGACCCCCCCCUAAUCAGCACUGUUUCAGCAGCGAGAGGAGCCCCGUCAUCCAACUAUGAUGGCAGUUCUUUGACCAUUUGCUUGUCCAGCCACUCAGACCAUAGAGGCCUCGUUUGUGUGCAAGUAUACUGUGGGAGAAAGUGUCAAAAGCCUUCUGAAAGUUGAGGUAACUGACAUUCACUGCUCUCUGUUCGUCCAUAAAUAGAGUUCUUUUAACAUAGAAAGCCAUCACGUUGGUGAGGCAUGAUUUCCCCUCAGGAAAUCUGUGCUGACUCUUCCCAGGCACCUCAUUCU